AGUGAACGCUGGCGGUAGGCCUAACACAUGCAAGUCGAACGGCAGCACAGUAAGAGCUUGCUCUUACGGGUGGCGAGUGGCGGACGAGUGAGGAAUACAUCGGAAUCUACUUUUUCGUGGGUGAUAACGUAGGGAAACUUACGCUAAUACCGCAUACGACCUACGGGUGAAAGCAGUGGAUCUUCGGACCUUGCGCGAUUGAAUGAGCCGAUGUCGGAUUAGCUAGUUGGCGGGGUAAAGGCCCACCAAGGCGACGAUCCGUAGCUGGUCUGAGAGGAUGAUCAGCCACACUGGAACUGAGACACGGUCCAGACUCCUACGGGAGGCAGCAGUGGGGAAUAUUGGACAAUGGGCGAAAGCCUGAUCCAGCCAUACCGCGUGGGUGAAGAAGGCCUUCGGGUUGUAAAGCCCUUUUGUUGGGAAAGAAAAGCAGCAGGUUAAUACCCCGCUGUUCUGACGGUACCCAAAGAAUAAGCACCGGCUAACUUCGUG
rnacentral:rRNA from 1 species